rnacentral:sRNA from 1 species
GACUGUUGAAGACAAUCUGUUCACAACAAUCUGUUCACAACAUCUGGCACCCCAAUCAUUGUCAGGACUGUUCUCACUGCACUGGUAGCUAAGGUGGACCUUUCCUCCUUCACCACUCUUACACAUGCCUCCAGACUCUUCAGACUUGUCAUCAAGGACACCCUUCCAUGACAGAGAAUUGUUCUUUGGUCAUGAGUAUACAAGUAAUGCAGUUCUCUGGUAGGAAUCUCCAAAUAAAAUUCUGAAGGAAUAUAAAUUUGAACAAGGCACCAAUAUAAUAUAACAUAAUAUAAUAGUGGAUAU